rnacentral:lncRNA from 1 species
AUGGAUCCGGUUUUAACGCAGCAGUAAAACCACUAACAGAAAAAUGCCUAAUAUCAGGUUUUUGGAUUGUUAGAAAUUUAGAUAUUUUAAUGUUUGAUUUAAUCUAGAAAAUUACGCAUAAUAUUGUGGUGGCAUAUAUGUGCACGUGUGCAAUUUUAUCACUACUCAGAUUAGAUAUAAACAUUGCAGAUACUACUGUAGACAUACUGAAAAUAAAAGACAAUCAAUUAGGAUUGUACGGAUUGUACCCCGAGGAGGGACCAGUGCCGAAGGAACCGGCGGCUCCAUUCGCACUAGUCGACAUAGUGUGUUGCUUGUAGUAGUAGACCACAGUCGAUGUAGGUAGAUGAUCGCAGUGCAGUCCCGCGAACGUCCACUAGGAAGAAGAUGACGAAGAUGAAGUAGUCGCAGUUCCGAACUCGACCGUCCACCAGGAAGAAGACGAUCCUGAUUCACCGGAGUGGAAGAAGACGAUCUCGCCGGGGAGUAGUCGCGGAAGACGCUCCCCAAAAACCUGAUUGCCCGCAACACCCGAGCAGGUGUCUCGAUGUAAGGCGUCGGGUCAAUGACCCGAGCAAGUGUCUCGAUGCAAGGCCGCAACACCCGAGCAGGUGUCUCGAUGCAAGGCGUUGGGUUCCGGAGGCCGGAGGAAACGUCUAGUUAAUGGUAAUCAAUCACAAUUAAUUGUCAUUAACGAGUCAAUCAAUUAGCAAUUAAUUUUGCACACAAGACAGGCACGGCUCGGCGGCGGCGCACGCGUGUGGCACCCCUUUUCUCUCCCUCAACUUCUCCAUAGGAGCUAACAAAGGCCACCUAUUUAAGUUGAGUUAACAAAUGGUCAAUCAUCAAUACGGUACUAAACCGUUUUCAUUAUAGCAUUAAUUAUGGGCCCUUGAAUUAAUCAUUAAAUAUAAUUAUGGGCUAAAGGCCCAUUAUAUUCAACAGUUUGUUUAUAAUCAAAACUGUUAUAGUGAAAGACCAGGUAAAAAAUCAGACCCAAAAACAGUGAGCAACAGAAAAGUUGCAAAGAGAAAACCUAAGUGGAAACAAAAAUAAAUCUGAAAACAGAAACCGAGCCAAUCACCACCGAUUUGAACAGGAAGAAACGUAAAUAAAACAAAAAAAAAACCAGAGCCAAUCAGCUGAACAAAAAAUAACGAUAGAAACCGAAAAAGAAGAGAAGGGGAAAACACAAUCAACGAGCGGACAAGUAACAGAUAUUAAGACGGGUAGAGAAAAAGAACAUAGGAAAGUACUAGUCUGGACGAAAAAAUUUAUGACAGCAAUUUUAUCACUUUAAUAUUAGAGUAGCAAAGGUGCCUGUGAAUGGGAGAAAAAACAAUACCUCUAUGUUAAUGGACUUGAUUCAACUCAAAUGUUUAUCUCAUCUUUCUCCGUAUCUCAUUAGUGACUCGACAUUGCUAUAGUGACUCAAAAGUUGACUCGACAUUGCAUAGUGAUAAAAAACAUGAAGUAUAGGUGAUACGUACAAGAAAAUAGCCGGACACAACAAUAGUUCAGUCAAAAGUUCAUCAAGUAUGUAAUUACUAACUAGUGGCUUCAACCUAGUUGGUAGUUGCAGAUCAACCAUUAGCACACUCUAGACCUAAGUACAAGUUUACAAGUCUAAAGAACAACAACAAGAUCAUAGCCACACAGACAAAUGAGCAUUAAUUAUAUUACCCUGAACAUGGUGCGGCCACUGCUGAGCUCUGAGAGACGGCAACAUCAGCAGGCAAUGGUGGUGGUGGCUCGAUCAAUCACGCUCGGCAUACCAAAUCUAAUAUCCAGCCGGAGGCAUUGUCAACUAACAACUCAAUGGAUCCGUUGAUGCCUGGACAGGAUGGACAGAAGGCAAACAAGUUAGCGCCGUCGGCUGCUGCAUAGAGAGGUGCAGGAGCUCACCGCCCGAGUUCGUUUGCGUUCGUGGCUAUUACAGGUGCAGCAAGGACCAAGAAGCAAGUGAU